rnacentral:rRNA from 1 species
UAGGGAAUCUUCCGCAAUGGACGCAAGUCUGACGGAGCAACGCCGCGUGAGUGAAGAAGGAUUUCGGUUCGUAAAACUCUGUUGUUAGAGAAGAACAGCGCAUAGAGUAACUGUUAUGCGUGUGACGGUAUCUAACCAGAAAGGGACGGCUAACUACGUGCCAGCAGCCGCGGUAAUACGUAGGUCCCGAGCGUUGUCCGGAUUUAUUGGGCGUAAAGCGAGCGCAGGCGGUUAGAAAAGUCUGAAGUGAAAGGCAGUGGCUCAACCAUUGUAGGCUUUGGAAACUGUUUAACUUGAGUGCAGAAGGGGAGAGUGGAAUUCCAUGUGUAGCGGUGAAAUGCGUAGAUAUAUGGAGGAACACCGGUGGCGAAGGCGGCUCUCUGGUCUGUAACUGACGCUGAGGCUCGAAAGCGUGGGGAGCGAACAGG